rnacentral:rRNA from 1 species
UAUGAACGCUAGCGAUAGGCUUAACACAUGCAAGUCGAACGGAGUUCCUUCGGGGACUUAGUGGCGAACGGGUGAGUAACGCGUGAGAAACCUGCCUUUCAGUGGGGGACAACAGUUGGAAACGACUGCUAAUACCGCAUAAUGUCAUUUGAGGGCAUCCUCGAAUGACCAAAGAUUUAUUGCUGAAAGAUGGUCUCGCGUCUGAUUAGCUAGUCGGUGAGGUAACGGCUCACCAAGGCGACGAUCAGUAGCCGGUCUGAGAGGAUGAACGGCCACAUUGGGACUGAGAUACGGCCCAG